rnacentral:rRNA from 1 species
GUGCCAGCAGCCGCGGUAAUACGUAGGUGACCAGCGUUGUCCGGAUUUACUGGGCGUAAAGAGCGCGCAGGCGGUCGUUCAAGUCGAGUGUGAAAGCCCCCGGCUCAACUGGGGAGGGUCAUUCGAUACUGAUCGACUCGAAGGCAGGAGAGGGAAGCGGAAUUCCCGGUGUAGUGGUGAAAUGCGUAGAUAUCGGGAGGAACACCAGUGGCGAAGGCGGUUGCCUGGGGCUUUGCUGACGCUGAGGCGCGAAAGCGUGGGGAGCGAUCCGGAUUAGAUACCCGGGUAGUCCACGCCGUAAACGAUGGGCACUAGGUGUGGGGGGUGUCGACUCCCCCCGCGCCGCCGCUAACGCAUUAAGUGCCCCGCCUGGGGAGUACGGCCGCAAGGCUAAAACUCAAAGGAAUUGACGG